GAUGAACGCUGGCGGCGUGCCUAAUACAUGCAAGUCGAGCGAACGGACGAGAAGCUUGCUCCCCUGAUGUUAGCGGCCGACGGGUGAGUAACACGAGGAUAACCUACCUAUAAGACAGGGAUAACUUCGGGAAACCGUAGCUAAUACCGGAUAAUAUUUCGAACCGCAUUGUGCAAAAGUGAAAUACGGUCUUGCUGUCACUUAUAGCCUGAUCCGCGCUGCAUCAGCUAGUUGGUAAGGUAACGGCUUACCAAGGCAAGGAUGCAUAGCCGACCUGAACGGGUGGACCGCUACCUGGGAUCAGAGGCUCGGCACACACACCUGGAGUAAGACGCGGUAGGGACUCUUCCGGGAGGGGCGAGAGCGUGACAGAGCAACACCGCGUAAGGCAUGAAGGUCCUCGGCUCCGAGAACUCUGUUAUUCGGAAAGAACAAAUGUGUAAGUAACUGUGAACAUCUUGACGGUACCUAGUCAGAAAGCCACGGCUAACUACGUG
rnacentral:rRNA from 1 species